CCUACGGAGAGUACUAGAACUUGUGAGUAGCAUUUGAAGAAUUUCAUUACGAAAGCAUACUCGAUGAAGUAGGAA
ncrna:unclassified sequences RAGATH-18 RNA